AAAAGAAGAAAUGAAGCCGUACUCUCCAAUUUCUUUUAAGAAAUGCUGUGAGAAGAUCAAGAUGCGUGUGGAUUUGGACAGCUACUUUGCAUCUUCGGCUGAGUAUUCUACGGAAUAUCCUGAAGCCUUUGAGCUCGAAAUGAAGCCGUACACUCCAAUUUCUUUUAAGAAAUGCUGUGAGAAGAUCAAGAUGCGUGUGGAUUGGGACAGCUACUUUGCACCUUGGGCUGAAUAU